ensembl:lncRNA
AGCAGUGAUUGAGCACCUGGUGGAAGGCAGGGCCAACCCAGGGGAGCUCAGGUGCAUGCAAUGUACCUGAGUGACUGGAAGGGUGAAGCCAGGAUGCACCCCUUCCCAGACCUCAUUUAGGGGUUGACAGUGGAGGUGAGAGUAUUUUGCUGGAGAUCCUUGUUGUACCUGAGGCCUUCUGGUGGAGGUCUUUGCACCUGACUUUGCCUGUUUGAUGUGCUAUGGUGUUAUUUCCAGCUAUCAGGGAAAGACAAGGCUUUCAAGGGCUGACCUAGUUGAGUUUGCAGGAUCCUAAGGGUUUUGUCUGGAGCUAAAGCAAAUCCCAUUUAGGACCAAGGAAAUACAUCCUUUCAAGAGACCAAGUGAAACUGCCCACAGACAGAGGUCUCUCCUCCCUCGCUUCCAUGCCCACCCCUUGUCUUGGUGCAGCUGUGGUGAUGUUUUACUUGGGCUGGUUGUUAACGCUGAUGUUAAAGACAUCCCUGAUGGCACAACGACAAGGCUGGGUGUUAGGGUUAAUGCUGGGUGUUUUUUGUCCUUGUGCAUCUGACAGUACUAUGCGGGAGCUUUGGGCUUCGUAUGCAGAGCCCUUGAGACCAGAAAGUUACAAAAGCAUCCUUGGGGACCAGCUGCUGGGUGUGAUUUUUCUGUCGACUGUUGGCCUUCCAGAUGUAGGCUCUGUCCAUCUGCCCCAGCUUGCAAAAAUACUCCACCUUGGCAUCAGUGCCAGUGUUCCACUGUGGUGGGGGGAUCUCAUUGCUCCCUUCCUGCUGGAAUCAACUGAAAUUCAAGACCACCCCAGGCUCAGUGAUGACUCGAUCGUGCCAUUUGAUCUCCUGGGGCUCCCUUGAGGAUGGUUCUUGCUCCUUCAGUUCCUGUAGGUUACCUGAUGCAGAAAAAGUACUAUUUAGUGCCCAUAGCUAACGCAUCAUGAUGACAAAAGAGCCCAAGUGUAGUUGGCUGCAAGCCUGCCCACAGCUUUGCAGGGAUAAGAGGUAGAAGAUCAGUCUACCACUUGUUUAGAGCCUCAGGGUGCUGCUUCAUUCCCAUGCAUCACCAAGUGAUUGGCAGAGAUCCAUACGGACAUCCAUCUACCCCACUGGGCUUCAUCUCAUUAGGGAGCCAAAUGUGGCAUUGCCUUACCUCAAUAGCAAGAACUCACAUUUGGGUAGGCUGGCAUGGCUGGUCUGGCAGGCCCAUCUGUGCAUAAAGGUGGUAUUUUAUUAUUAUAACUAUUAGUGACCAAAAGCCUGCCGUGGAAGUAGGGGUUGGUCAAAGGAUGUCAUCCUUCCACUUGGGACAAUUGCCCACAGCAAGCAGCCUUUGCAUCGCGGCAGAGCAGAGAUGUCUGUGCUGGAUCUAACCUGGGAUCUAACGUGCCUCGCUGGGGUCUCCAUUCUGCACAGAAACAUGCUUUCUGCUCGUUGCAAACACUGGGGAGUAGAGCAGAGGUCUUUGGAAGUCUUUGUGCGCACCAAAGUGAGGAACCCGUCCAGCUCUCAGCAUCCUUUUUUCAGCACACUGCUGUCCCUAAAGCACCAGCUGCCGUCGCAGGGAGGGGUCACAAGGAAUUAAAGCUCGGGACCAUCUCUUGGGGUCGAAAGGGACCAGGUUUCUGGACAUGACACUGGUUGGACAUCUUCUGAACCAGCUGAAUUAUUUCAGAAAUAGUGCUGCUGGGUGCACAAUGUGCUCAGCAAUCCAUGUGGUAUCACCACAGCCAGCCAGGUUUAUCUAUGAGUUGCCACAGCUGGGAAAGAGGAGAGACAUAUUAUUGAGGGUUUCCAUUUAAGAAAGAGGACCUAUAAAUAAUAGCAGUGCUGUGAUGAAGUCAAUUGGAAAGAAGAUGGAGGACGUUCAAAGAUAUUGGAAAUAUGGCAUAGUAGACUCAGCCCUGGGUCAUCUGUAUGGUGGCUUACGGGUGGAAAAUGAGAUUCAAAGCCAAAGAUGCUGUGACUGCAACGUGUUUUAUGGUGGGAUGCAGACAAGGCUUGGUACCUUACAGUAAGAAGAUCUGUGAUGACGACAGCAUGCACAAGUAUGAAAGGAAAUACAACCCUAGCAUGGUGCAGCCC